UUCCACAUCAACUACUGCUUCCCUGAAUGUGAAAGAUAUGAUGCUUGCCAUCCUCAAGCUCUCUAGUAAGACCUGAAAUUAAAUCCUCAAAACCUUAGAGGUUUCUUGAAAUCCUUGGUUGAAACAACAUAAUAUAUGGCUUGUUAAA